CUUAAUUCUACUCUUGCCUUACCUCGUAUCUCAAAACAAGAGCUGAACUCGUUUAUGCCAAGAGACGGUCAGCUCUGCAAGGAGCUAAUGCUCUUCUGGUGCAAGUCAUUCUGCGUGCAAGCAGAGAAGCCAUUUCCUCUGAAGCACGGCUUAUCAUUGCUCAGAUACUCCUGGAAGGCAGUCUCCUGUUAAUGCCAGUUCUUCAACAAAAUGCUGACUUUAAAAUAAAUAUGCAAGGAUAUCAGAUGGGCUGGGGGACUGUGCCACUGUGUGAGGGAUCUGCAAUGCGAUGUGAAUUGGGAAUUCCAGUCCUGAGCAGCCAGGCAGGGAGAACAAGACUUCUCUACCUUAUCUACAAUUUCUGGUAGUGUUGCAUGUAUGUCUGGCUGUGUCAGUGUCCCCUCUAUGUGUAUGCAAGUGUAAAUACUUGUCCAGCACCUGGUUGUCUCCUACAAAAUGUACAUGGCUCCACUACAGCAACCAGGAAGGAACAAUCCCCAGGUCCUGGUGACCACAGGAUUCAGCAGUUCCUGUAAGAACCUUCAGUUUCUUGUUAAAACAUCCACUCUAUGGAAG